rnacentral:ncRNA from 1 species
UUUAUGGAGAGUUUGAUCCUGGCUCAGGACGAACGCUGGCGGCGUGCCUAAUACAUGCAAGUCGAGCGGGCAUUUGAGAGCUUGCUCUCAAAUGUUAGCGGCGGACGGGUGAGUAACACGUGGGCAACCUGCCCUGUAGACUGGGAUAACUUCGGGAAACCGAAGCUAAUACCGGAUAAUCUUUAGAACCUCAUGGUUCUAAAGUGAAAGUUGGGUUUACCUAACACUACAGGAUGGGCCCGCGUCGCAUUAGCUAGUUGGUAAGGUAACGGCUUACCAAGGCGACGAUGCGUAGCCGACCUGAGAGGGUGAUCGGCCACACUGGGACUGAGACACGGCCCAGACUCCUACGGGAGGCAGCAGUAGGGAAUCUUCCGCAAUGGACGAAAGUCUGACGGAGCAACGCCGCGUGAGCGAUGAAGGCCUUCGGGUCG